rnacentral:rRNA from 1 species
CAGUAGCCGCGGGAAUACGAAGGGUGCAAGCGUUACUCGGAAUUACUGAGCGUAAAGCGUGCGUAGGUGGUGGUUUAAGUCCGUUGUGAAAGCCCUGGGCUCAACCUGGGAAUUGCAGUGGAUACUGGGUCACUAGAGUGUGGUAGAGGAUAGUGGAAUUUCCGGUGUAGCAGUGAAAUGCGUAGAGAUCGGAAGGAACAUCUGUGGCGAAGGCGACUAUCUGGGCCAACACUGACACUGAGGCACGAAAGCGUGGGGAGCAAACAGGAUUAGAUACCCCGGUAGUCCCUGUCUCUUAUAC